rnacentral:rRNA from 1 species
UACGUAGGGUGCAAGCGUUGUCCGGAAUUAUUGGGCGUAAAGAGCUCGUAGGCGGUCUGUCACGUCUGCUGUGAAAACUCAGGGCUUAACCCCGAGCUUGCAGUGGGUACGGGCAGACUAGAGUGCGGUAGGGGAGACUGGAAUUCCUGGUGUAGCGGUGAAAUGCGCAGAUAUCAGGAGGAACACCGGUGGCGAAGGCGGGUCUCUGGGCCGUAACUGACGCUGAGGAGCGAAAGCAUGGGGAGCGAACAGG